GCCUCUUCUUCACUUGGUUUUUCACCUCUGAGAUGUUCCGCUCUGCUGCAAGCAAUAGGGUGUUUCACAGAUCCAUACUUGUCUUUACAAUUUCCAGGCUUAGGAAAUAUUUUUAAAUUUUAUUGAUGACCUUUCCAAAGUUUAAAUGAGUUAGCCCUUGGAUGUUAAGAGGAAAUAGUAUUUUAAAGACAAAGUAAAAGAAUGCCAAAUCUAUGAGGACAUUAUGCUAAGUGAAAUAAGCCAGUCACAAAAUGACAAGUAUUGCUGAUUCCACCUAUAUAAGGUCCUAGAUUAGUCAAACUCGUAGAGACUGAGAGUAGAAAGGGGAUGCCAGGGACUGCAGAGUGGGGCUAGGGAAGUGGGGAGUUAGGAUUUAACGUGUACAGAGUUCCAGUUCGGGAGGAUGGAAAGACUUCCGGAGGUUAGGCACAGGGGCUCAUGCCUAUAAUCUCCACACUUUCAGAGACCAAGGAAGGAGAACUGCUUGAGGCCAGGAGUUUGAAACCAGACUGGGCAACAUAGUGAGAUCCCAUCUCUACAAAAAAUUUAAAAAAUUAAACAGUGUGGGGACGUGAGCCUGUAGCCCCAGCUACUCAGGAGGCUGAGGUGAGAGGAUUGUUUGAACCCAGGAGGUUGAGGCCACAGUGAGCUGUAAUCACACCACUCCACUCCAGUCUGGGUAACAGAGCGACACCCUAUCUCAAAUAAAUAAAUAAAUCUUUUUAAAAAUAAAAGAAUUGGAUAUGAUGUUAAAUUUUAUGUUAUGUGUAUAUUGCCACAAUUUAAAAUUUUUUAAAGAAUACCAAAUCAAGAAGUGCUAAAGUUCAUGGAAUUACCUAUAUCAGAGGUGGUGGGAGUCAGGAGUAUGGAAAAGAACCCUUCAAAUGAAAAGGUUCAUGAUUAUCGAAAACAGCUUGUCCUGUUUUUACCAACUGGAAACUUUCUCUAGGAAAGCAGCUAUUCCUAAUGGCAUUUCUAAAAUUAUGCAAACACAAAACCAAAAAGAAGGCAGGCACCCAGUAAAGUUAUCUAAGACUUUGGUGGGAAAAUAAAUAAAUAAACCUGCCGCCUCACGGUUGUUUCUCCUCACCUACAAGGCUUUGAUUUCUGAGAUGGGGCCUGAAGCAGGAAUUCCUCACACAAUGGAUGCUCAAUUUGUCACAGGAUGUGCCUCUCCACUCUCAUACCAGAUAAAAGGUUAGCCUGGUUUUUCAUCUAGCUGUGUCUCCCUCAGAAUCAAAACUAUCGUCCUCCUCAGUGCUGGAUCGAGUCCUUUCAUCUUUAAUUUGACCAAAAUGGAAACCAGGAUCAUGAGAAUUCCUCGGGGCUGGUGUUGAAAGGAAUUUCCCCUGCUCUUGCCAGAGUCUCGAGGGGUGGCCUCCUUCCACGGGUGAGUAACCACAAGUCCAUGUGACCGAACAAACAGCAUAUUCUUUUGUUCAAAAGAGAAAAACAACAUUGAAGGAAAUCAGCUGAAGAAAAUUGAGAUGAAAGCCAGUCCACGCCUCAGCAUCCUGAGGAAAUGUUCUUCCUUGAUGCUCUGAGCUCUCUAAGAAGUUACCACAAAACCAAACCCAUCAGAAGUUUGCAGGACGUCCUUGUUUAGAGCUGGGAAAUAAACCACGAAACAGCGCAAAGGAGAGUCCAGGCCUGCCAAUGCUUCCGCGAACUCCUCGCCCCGACCUCAUCCUUCUCCAGCUCCUACCUGCAGGCCUCAGUCUAGACCAAGAGUCAGCAAACCAUGGCCCUUGAGCCGAAUCUAGCCUGCUAUCUGGCUUUGCCAAUAAAGCCUGGAACAUAGCCACGUUCAUGACUUAUCCACGACUGCCUUUGCACUACAACAACAGGGUUGAGUGUUGCAACAGAGACCGUGUGGCCCACAAAGCCUAAAAUAUAUACUAUCUGGCCUUUUACAGACAACUUUUGCAGACCUCUGGUCCGGACAAUGAACAACCCAUAGAACAAGAUCUGAUUUGUAAUGUUUGCUGAUCUCCAAAGUGUAAAUACUCCCACCAUGACCAAUUGGAAGCCACUGACAAGUCCUCACUAAAUGCAGAAUUGAGAAGAAACACGAAUAGCACAUCAUUGUAUGGUAUUUCCACUCUACCAAUGGAUGUGAAUAACCUCAAGAACACAUAAUGUUGAGAUGUGGAAAAAUCAUCAGGAAGCCGUGAGUUUUGACUAUUUGCUUUUUAGCUAAUUAAUUAUAAGGUCACAUAAUUUAGUGUUUAAUAAUCACUAUGUUAACAACCAGCUCACAGCAUUCCUGAAAAUUUCACAGUUGGCUCCUGUAAGCUGAUAUGGCCAGCCCCAGCUCAUGACAGGUUACGGUAUGCUGUCAAUUGUGUGGAAAACGUAUCGGGAGGUCAUGACUGUAUAUCCACAUAAGCUUCUCUAUGCACAGAGUAUCUCUGGAAGAUGCAUAAGAAAUUGCAACAGCUGUUGCUUCCGCAGUGGGCAAAUGGAGGUCUGGGAGUUGAGUUGGGGAUGCACAUUUAUUUUUUACUAUAUGUUCUUUUGUAGAGAAUAUAAAUUGGUAUGAAUUUUUUAAGCAUAUGUCUGUGUUACCCUUAAAUCCCAAUGGAUCUUUUAUAAGCAAGCUCUUCCAUCUUUUUUUUCCCGAGUCUCCCCUUCACCCUGCAGUGUCUCUGCAAUGCUGGUAGAGUGGGCUGGCACAGCCCCCGCCUCUGGCCUGGUCCGGGUCCAACCUGCCUGCCUCCUGGGGCAGCAGCUCCCUGAACGAAGAGCCGCGGAGACCGAAGAACUCAGUGAAUCAGCAGUUCUCCCAGAUGAAACGCUGGCCUGAAAGCAGCCUCAAGAGCUUUGGCCCGUCACCUUGCCUUGCCUUCUCUUCCUUCCUCGUCCUCUGUUUGUUCAUCUUUCCUGAAAAAAUUAAGUCAGCUGUUCCCCUUAACCAAUUUCCCUGGCAUUCUGAAGGGUAGGCCACAUGGCCCACCUGCCAGCUACUCCCACCUGCCAAGCCUUCCUGACUAUAUUUACCCUGGUACUCCCAUGUCCCGGGGCUGCUUCAGCAGAGCCAAGGACACACCCAGGUGUUUGUUUUCUAGGUCAGAUUUCCUCAGCCAUGGGUGUAUCUGUGCUUGUCCCUCAAAAUCCUCAUAGCUCCUUUCCCCACCCCAACUUCCAGGCCAGACGGGGUUCAGGGGUGUCUCAGCUAAGGUUCCCCUGAAGCAGACACAAAUUAGUACAAAAGGGACUUAUUAGGAGGUGAUCCUUAAAAAUUUGGGCAGGAGAAUGGAAAGGGUGGACACAGACAAAAAGGAUGCCAAGUGAGAAUGUGAUGAUUACUGCUGCAGUUUUCUACAGCUGCCUGUCAAACUAUCCCAACACAGUGGCAUUGACCAGCAGCCAUUUUCGCUAUGCCCACAGCUUCUGUGGGUCAGGCGUUUGGACAGGGCAAUGGGAACAGCUUGUUUCUGUUCCAUAGUGUGUGAGGGAGGCCUCAACUGGAAAACUCAAAGACCGGGGUGGCUUGAUGACUGGAGGCUGGAACCAUCCGGAAGCUUCUUGAAGCUGGGUUGACUUACAUGUGGUCUUGCAUGUGAGUUGGGCUUUUCACAUCAUGGCUGUUGGGUUCCAAGAGGCAGUGUCUGGGGAACAAGAGUUCCAAGACACCAAGGCAGAAGCUGCUAGACCUUUUUUGACCUCGCUUCGGAUGUCAGCAAUGAAGUUCUGUGGAUUCAACUGCAUUCUAUUGGUUACCAGCAGUCGCUUGAAUCUGAUUAGCUCCAAAACUGAGUGAGCCUCUGGCAAGAGUGCAUUGCAGAAGGGCACAUCCAAUGAGAGGCGCUGCUGUAGUAACAGGGACCUCUCCAAUGGCCUGUUUGAGUGCUCUCAGAAUAUGGCACCUGGGUUCCUCCAGAGCAAGUGAUCUGAGAGAGAGCAAGGAGAAGGCCACUCUGCCUUUCAUGACUCAUCUCAGAAGUCACACACUAUCACAGGUUCUGUUCUGUUCAUUGGAAGUGAGUCAUGAAGUCCGGCCCACACUCAAGAGAAAGGAAAUUAUGCUCCUUCUUUUGAAAUGAGUGUAAGAAAGUAAAACUUUGUCAAAUGUGUAUGUGUGUGUGUGUGUGUGUCCCUAAACUAUGUGUCUUUUUUUUUAAUCUUUCCUAAAUGGAAUCACACUGUGAGUGUUCUGUGACUUGAAGUUUCACAAGACAUUAUAUUUCUGAAAUCCAUUCAUGUUGACACACUGUAUUAGUUUGCUCCAGCUGCCAUAACAAAAUACCACAGACUAGGGGCUUAAACAACAGAAAUUUACUUUCUCACCAGUUCUGGAGGCUGAAGUUCGAGAUCCAGGCAUGGGCAGGAUCAGUUUCUCCUGGGGCCUCUGUCCUCGGCUUGCAGAUGGCAUCUUCUCCCUGUGUCCCCACAUGGUCCUCCCUCUGUGUGAGUCUGUGUCUUCAUCUCCCCUUCUUAUAAGGACACCAAUCAGGUUGGAUUAGGGGCCACCCUAAAGACCUCACUUUAACUCAAUCACCUCUUUAAAGAACCCACCUCCAAAUAUAGUCCUGAGGUCCUGGGGGUUAGGACUUCAACAGAGGAAUGCUGGGGAGACACAAUUCAACCCAUAGCAUGCAUAUAAUUGUAGUUUGUUAAUUUUCACUACUCUAUAGUAUCCCAUUUUAUGAACAGACAAAAGUAUAUUAUUUAUUCUACCAACAAUGGAUAUUUUGGUUAUUUCCAGUUUUUUGUUAUUAUAGAUGAUACUGCCACAAGCAACCUGGCUCCCAUGAACAUGUAGCAUAUAUGCAUCUCUAUAUUUACUGUUAAUCCCAAUUCUUUUACAAAGUGGUUGCACCAGUUUACACUCCCACCAGCAGCAUAUCGGAGUUACUCCACAUUCUUACCAAUAUUUGGUAUGGUCAGAAUCCUUAACUUGCUAAUCUCAUGGUUGCAAAAUAAUAUCUCUUUUGUGGCUUUAAUUAGCCUUUCCCAGAUUACCAAUAAGGCAGUGAAUCUUUUCAUUUGUUUAUGAAAUGCUUUUUCAUUUCCUCUGUCCAUUUUUCCACUGGGUUGUUCACUCUGCCUUACUGAUUUGUCAAAAGUCUUCGCAUAUUGCAGUUGCAAUUACUUUGAUCACCUGUGGCUUGUCUUUUCAGAUUCUCUUGCCAAUUUUUGUCCACCUUGGCUCCUCUUCUUUUGCCCGUCUCUUGUUCGUGUCCCUCUUGGGUCCUGUUCUCUCCUUGUUCCACAUGUGAUCCCAUGUCAAUCAGUCCAAUGAAUAAAGUUUCCACUGCAUAUGCACCUGAAUCCUAAGUCUAUAUCUUCAAAAUAGCUCUUAAAAUCCACUGAACUCAGCCAGGUGCAGUGGCUCAUGCCUGUAAUCCCAGCACUUUGGGAGGCUGAGGUGGGCAGAUCACAUAAGGCCAGGAGUUCGAGACCAGCCUGGCCAACAUGGUGAAACCCCUUCUCUACUAAAAUUACAAAAAUUAACCAGGUAUGGUGGUGAAUGUCUGUAAUCCCAGCUACUUGGGAAACUGAGGCAUGAGAAUCGCUUGAACCCAGGAGGCGGAGGCUACAGUGAGCCAAGAUCAUGUCACUGCACUCCAGCCUGGGAGAUAGGGCAAGACUCUGUCUCAAAAAAAAAAAAAAAAAUCCACUGAACUCUUCAUGCUCUUUUCCUAACCUGUGAACUUUUGAACAUGUUUACUGCUGUUCAGGGAAUACCAUCUCCCAUCCUGGCCCCUGCUCCUCCCUAUACUCUGUAUAGCUAACUCCUGUUAACCUGCAAGUCUCAGGUCUCAGCUGAAGGGACCUCUUUUAACCAUGCUCCCAGAGUGCCCUAUAACUGUCACAUCACAGCACUUAGCACACAGUAUUGCCAUUAUCCUUUUACUCGGCUGUCUCUCCCACCAGACUGUAAGUCCCCAUGACACUGUACAUAGCAGCAUGUCUGUACAAAACUGACAUGCAAUAAAUCCUUGAUGGUGAAUUAAUUAAUAAUUCUUCAUGGGUAAAAAAUUAGGCUCACCAAUAAAACACAUGAGCACUCAAAUCAUUUGUACUAUUAAAACAUGUAUGUAAAUUCUACACAUUAAUCAUCAAAACAAUGUUAAAAUAACCUCUGAACCCUGAUCUCCCAAAAUAAAUGUAUUAUAAGUGUGUAAA
rnacentral:lncRNA from 1 species